UACGUAGGGGGCAAGCGUUGUCCGGAAUCAUUGGGCGUAAAGAGCGUGUAGGCGGUUCGGUAAGUCGGCUGUGAAAGUCCAGGGCUCAACCCUGGGAUGCCGGUCGAUACUGCCGGACUAGAGUUCGGAAGAGGCGAGUGGAAUUCCCGGUGUAGUGGUGAAAUGCGUAGAUAUCGGGAGGAACACCAGUGGCGAAGGCGACUACCUGGCCUGUUAUUGACGCUGAGGCGCGAAAGCUAGGGGAGCAAACGGG
rnacentral:rRNA from 1 species